AACGAACGCUGGCGGCAGGCCUAACACAUGCAAGUCGAGCGAGGACUUCGGUCCUAGCGGCGGACGGGUGAGUAACGCGUGGGAACGUGCCCUUUGCUUCGGAAUAGCCCUGGGAAACUGGGAGUAAUACCGGAUGAGCCCUUUGGGGGAAAGAUUUAUCGGCGAAGGAUCGGCCCGCGUUGGAUUAGGUAGUUGGUGGGGUAAUGGCCUACCAAGCCGACGAUCCAUAGCUGGUUUGAGAGGAUGCUCAGCCACACUGGGACUGAGACACGGCCCAGACUCCUACGGGAAGCAGCAGUGGGGAAUCUUAGACAAUGGGGGAAACCCUGAUCUAGCCAUGCCGCGUGAGCGAUGAAGGCCUUAGGGUUGUAAAGCUCUUUCAGCUGGGAAGAUAAUGACGGUACCAGCAGAAGAAGCCCCGGCUAACUCCGUG
rnacentral:rRNA from 1 species